rnacentral:rRNA from 1 species
UACGUAGGGGGCUAGCGUUGUCCGGAUUUAUUGGGCGUAAAGAGCGUGUAGGCGGCCCGGUAAGUCCGCUGUAAAAGUCAAAGGCUCAACCUUUGAAUGUCAGUGGAUACUGCCGGGCUAGAGUCCGGAAGAGGCGAGUGGAACUCCUGGUGUAGCGGUGGAAUGCGCAGAUAUCAGGAAGAACACCAACGGCGAAGGCAGCUCGCUAGGACGGUACUGACGCUGAGACGCGAAAGCGUGGGGAGCGAACAGG